GACGAACGCUGGGGCGUGCUUAACACAUGCAAGUCGAACGGAAAGGCCCUGCUUUUGUGGGGUGCUCGAGUGGCGAACGGGUGAGUAACACGUGAGUAACCUGCCCUUGACUUUGGGAUAACUUCAGGAAACUGGGGCUAAUACCGGAUAGGAGCUCCUGCUGCAUGGUGGGGGUUGGAAAGUUUCGGCGGUUGGGGAUGGACUCGCGGCUUAUCAGCUUGUUGGUGGGGUAGUGGCUUACCAAGGCUUUGACGGGUAGCCGGCCUGAGAGGGUGACCGGCCACAUUGGGACUGAGAUACGGCCCAGACUCCUACGGGAGGCAGAAGUGGGGAAUAUUGCACAAUGGGCGGAAGCCUGAUGCAGCAACGCCGCGUGCGGGAUGACGGCCUUCGGGUUGUAAACCGCUUUCGCCUGUGACGAAGCGUGAGUGACGGUAAUGGGUAAAGAAGCACCGGCUAACUACGUG
rnacentral:rRNA from 1 species